rnacentral:sRNA from 1 species
AGAUUAGUUAAGUUAAGACCUAAGUUAGUAAAGGUAAGACCUAUAUCAGUG